rnacentral:rRNA from 1 species
GAUGAACGCUGGCGGCGUGCCUAAUACAUGCAAGUCGAGCGAACAGACGAGGAGCUUGCUCCUCUGACGUUAGCGGCGGACGGGUGAGUAACACGUGGAUAACCUACCUAUAAGACUUGGAUAACUUCGGGAAACCGGAGCUAAUACCGGAUAAUAUAUUGAACCGCAUGGUUCAAUAGUGAAAGACGGUUUUGCUGUCACUUAUAGAUGGAUCCGCGCCGCAUUAGCUAGUUGGUAAGGUAACGGCUUACCAAGGCAACGAUGCGUAGCCGACCUGAGAGGGUGAUCGGCCACACUGGAACUGAGACACGGUCCAGACUCCUACGGGAGGCAGCAGUAGGGAAUCUUACGCAAUGGGCGAAAGCCUGACGGAGCAACGCCGCGUGAGUGAUGAAGGUCUUCGGAUCGUAAAACUCUGUUAUUAGGGAAGAACAAAUGUGUAAGUAACUAUGCACGUAUUGACGGUACCUAAUCAGAAAGCCACGGCUAACUACGUG